CCAAGGUAGCAUAAUAAUUAGUUUUUUAAUUGAAAACUAGAAUGAAAGGUUGAACAAAGAAAAAUCUGUCUUUAAUUUUUUUUUGAAAUUUACUUUUAAGUGAAAAGGCUUAAAUUAAUUUAAGGGACGAUAAGACCCUAUAAAUCUUUACAUUUAUUUAAUAUUUUAUAAUUAAGUUGUAAAUUUAUUAUUAUAUUAAUAAUAUGUUAUAUUGGGGUGAUAAUGAUAUAAUAAAAAACUGUUUUAAUAAAUAAACAUAUAUAAUUGAAAUUUAAAAGAUCCUUUAUAAAGAUUAAAAGUUUAAGUUACUUUAGGGAUAACAGCGUAAUUUUUUUUAAGAGUUCUUAUCGAAAAAAAAGUUUGCCACCCCGAUGUUGAAUUAAAAUUUCUUUAUAAUGCAAAAGUUAUAAAAAAAAGUCUGUUCCAC
rnacentral:rRNA from 1 species